rnacentral:rRNA from 1 species
UACGUAGGGGGCAAGCGUUGUCCGGAUUUAUUGGGCGUAAAGAGCGUGUAGGCGGCCAUACAGGUCAGCUGUGAAAACUCGAGGCUCACCUCGAGACGUCGGUUGAAACCGUAUGGCUAGAGUCCGGAAGAGGAGAGUGGAAUUCCCGGUGUAGCGGUGAAAUGCGCAGAUAUCGGGAAGAACACCUAUGGCGAAGGCAGCUCUCUGGGACGGUACUGACGCUGAGACGCGAAAGCGUGGGGAGCGAACAGG